ACACUGCGGGUUGUGCUAGAUGGCGUGCUCCUGUAUAAUUCUUUGGUAAGCAAACGGCUCAUCAACUUCUAAUAGUUCAUCUGCUAAUUGUGUUCCGCUUUAGUUAAUCAAAUGACUCCCUGCUCUUUUAGAUACAUUUGUCCAAUAUGUUUCAAAUCAAUCGACCCCCAUUUUAUGUGUAGUAUCAACUGAAACUGCUAAAAUCAGUAGCUAAUUUGGAAUGCUAGUCUGGUAUGCCAUGUGGAUGGCAGCCAAGCAAAUUGGCGUGCCGAUUUGAUUGUGAGCUGACUGAAAACUGAUUGAAGACAUGAGUUAGUUAUAAACUGUCACUCUGUCAGGAAGAAGGGAAUUCGCUUAUUUCAUCCGUGCAAUCUCUAAUCCUUGAGCGAUUAUUCUCUUAGCACAGCUAGAAGCAUUGUUUCAGUCAAGUUAAGAACGCAUCAGCUUCAUGGCUGAUAGUUUGGAUCUAAAAAUGCAGUUAUCAGCAUGCUGAAAGUUUCCCUUUAUUAUGGAUAGAUGCAACAAUAAGAAUUAUAUCCGGCCAUAUCCUGCUAAAAAAAGAGAAUUAUAUCCUGCUAAAAAAAGAGAAUUAUAUCCUGCUAAAAAAAGGUAAGGUAUCCUGAGAUUGUUUUGCAAGUGAUAGUAUUACAUUGUAAGUCGAGUUAAGUUUCAGAUCCUCGCUGUUGUUGAUAUUAGAUCAGUAAAACGGGCCGUGUGACCAUAUUGCGCCGCAGACUGUUGUGAACUCUCCGAAUCAGUACAUCACCCGUCGCGAGCGCAAGUGCACAGAUGCCACUGGAGUAGGUCCAAAUGCUACGUUAAUGGAAAAUUCAAGUAUAAAAAUAGUAUUGGUUGUGAGUCGUCAAGAAUUGGAUGGCUCACUGGUGACAGCCUGAGAAUGCUUGGAGACUGCUUAGUUUUACUGUCUUUAUGCGAAUAAACACCUCAAGCCGCUCAUUGCUGAUGUCCUAUUCUAGGGGUUGCUACUUGGCAAGGUAUUACCAACGCAAUAAACUCAAUUUGUGUUUGUUUACUGUGCAGAAAUCAUCAAGGCAGUCGAUACAGGAGGAAGAAGCGGAGGCGAAAAAGAAGAUGAACAAUGAGCCCUCGGAAGAACAGCAGUAAACGAACAAUGUGUUAGGAACUGACAGUGGGAUGAGUAGAUGACCCAUUAGCUAAUUCCAAAGCUAGGCAUGUAAACAGUCUAGUUCCAGAUUGCUGUGGAAGGUGUGGCCUAUGGGAGAGCAAUGCACAAGGUUGUUCAUGAGAGGUUUUAGCGUUGUAACCUGUGACUAGUGGUUUAGAUUCCACUGGCAAACUUAUAUUUCAAAUCCUGAAUCGUCUGCGAAUAUUAGGAAAAGCAGCA
rnacentral:lncRNA from 1 species